CCCAGGGCUUGGAGUGGGGCAAGGUU
rnacentral:miRNA from 1 species